UGCCUCCUCUCCUAACUGAUGUCUGAUUAACCUCAAUUAGCAUUGGGUAAACAGGUGCCUUUGGCAAUACAAAAGGAUGGUGGUUGAGCUGCUGUGUUUUUCAAGUCUGUUAAGAGCUUAGAGAAGCCUUCUGAAAUUAUAGAGAAAGAGAAAUUAUUUUUGUUCUGUUCUUGUUGUAUGUAAGCGUGCUUUUGACUUUGUUUCACAGAAGUAAAAUAUUGUAGUAGGAAGAACUUCCAGGAAUAAAAAAAAAAUUGAGAGUUGCUGACUGCUUUUGAGGCUACUCUUGUCAGCUGUGCUGAGGACUGAAUUAUCCUUCUACUACAGGGGAACUUGUACUGAUACAUGAGAGGAGGAAAAAACCUUAUUCAAAUUCAUUCUCUAAGGAUCACUCAGUCUUACAAUAAAACAAGUCUAAUUUGAUAAAAGGCUAAGAAUUAUUUUAUGUGCUGAUAGCAGAGUACAUAUGCCCUUACAGCUUUGUUUGAAUCAAAGUAAGAGGAAGCUCCUGAUGUGGAUUCAAAGCCUCAAGUCAAAGUUAAGAUACCAGGAUGGGAGUUAAAUGCUGUCACUUUCUGCUCAAUGUGUUGGACAAAACAGUUUGAGGCUCCAGAGCAUGAGCUUGUCACUCUGUCUGCUGGAGCUGGACCACA